CAAACGGCCCUUUUUAGGGCCACCAAAUUCGGUGCAACUACUGUCU
rfam:Trichuris muris Edinburgh genomic scaffold, scaffold8